rnacentral:rRNA from 1 species
GAUUGAACGCUGGCGGCAGGCCUAACACAUGCAAGUCGAGCGGUAGCACAGAGAGCUUGCUCUCGGGUGACGAGCGGCGGACGGGUGAGUAAUGUCUGGGAAACUGCCUGAUGGAGGGGGAUAACUACUGGAAACGGUAGCUAAUACCGCAUAAUGUCGCAAGACCAAAGUGGGGGACCUUCGGGCCUCAUGCCAUCAGAUGUGCCCAGAUGGGAUUAGCUAGUAGGUGGGGUAACGGCUCACCUAGGCGACGAUCCCUAGCUGGUCUGAGAGGAUGACCAGCCACACUGGAACUGAGACACGGUCCAGACUCCUACGGGAGGCAGCAGUGGGGAAUAUUGCACAAUGGGCGCAAGCCUGAUGCAGCCAUGCCGCGUGUGUGAAGAAGGCCUUCGGGUUGUAAAGCACUUUCAGCGGGGAGGAAGGCGAUAAGGUUAAUAACCUUGUCGAUUGACGUUACCCGCAGAAGAAGCACCGGCUAACUCCGUGCCAGCAGCCGCGGUAAUACGGAGGGUGCAAGCGUUAAUCGGAAUUACUGGGCGUAAAGCGCACGCAGGCGGUCUGUCAAGUCGGAUGUGAAAUCCCCGGGCUCAACCUGGGAACUGCAUUCGAAACUGGCAGGCUAGAGUCUUGUAGAGGGGGGUAGAAUUCCAGGUGUAGCGGUGAAAUGCGUAGAGAUCUGGAGGAAUACCGGUGGCGAAGGCGGCCCCCUGGACAAAGACUGACGCUCAGGUGCGAAAGCGUGG